GGUUUGCCAACCGCCAAUAAACACCAAAGAAGAAGAAAAAGACGUACACGUUAGAUGUGUGCUGUUUACGACAAAGACGUGAUCCUGCUGUCACCAAAUAUUGAUAAAGUGUCAAGACAAAAGUCUUGGGUAGAAAAAUCAUCAAGAUGUACUGGGCACCGCGAGCGAGAUUGCAUGACAAGUAAAGACACUCCAAUUAAGAUGAAUACAUAUUGGUACCAACCAGGGCCGAUCCACGGCAACAGAUAUGGAGUGAAUGUCACCGCAACCCUCUCCAGCCCUCCAGGGCUGAGCCUCGCAGACGUCAAGUGUUAAUUUAGGGUUCCUGCCGAGCGUGAGCCUGUCAGCGGCGAGGCUUGGAGGAGGGAGAGAGGCGAGGUCUGUAUCUAAGAUCAUGGACACUAGCAGAGGAGACCAGAAAGAUAAUUUUUUGAAAAACAUGAGAAGAAGGAGGUUCAUGUGGAGCUGAGGAUUGCCCAAAUAUCCUCCAUAUCUGUCACUGGCAUUUUUUUCCCUAGUAAAAGCCGUUUCUGACCAGCGCAAUACGAAAAUGUGGUGUGGGAAUGCAGAAAAUAUGCGUUUGACGUUCCGCAUUGACAGCUAUGCACACCAGGUCCGGUGCAAAUUAUCCGUGUUCCAUUUUCGUCAAUGAGGUCCAAUGAUUUUCCUCCUAAAAAGUGCCCUAAUCCACUCCACACAACAAAAACCUAUCCAGACAGAGACUGCCUCAGAGGCUAACAUUGACUACACAAUACAGAAACUAAUCGGACCCCAAAUGUGAUGCUAAGGCUAGCUGUUGUGGCUAGCCCCGUUCUAUGACCAACAUAUGUAGCAAUUGCAUAUCAGCUACAUUGCCAUCUUUAUCGAUAUCCCAGCUGCUGGGUGAUCUCAAGCCAUAUAUUGUCCAUUA